rnacentral:rRNA from 1 species
CCUACGGGUAGCAGCAGUGGGGGAUAUUGCACAAUGGGGGGAACCCUGAUGCAGCGACGCCGCGUGGGUGAAGAAGGGCCUCGGUGCGUAAAGCCCUUUCAGCAGGGCAGAAAAUGACGGUACCUGAAGAAGAAGCCCCGGCUAACUACGUGCCAGCAGCCGCGGUAAUACGGAGGGGGCAAGCGUUAUCCGGAUUUACUGGGUGUAAAGGGGGCGCAGACGGAGAUGCAAGCCAGGGGUAAACGCCCGGGGCUCAACCCCGGCGAGCCGGUGAAAAUGGCUGUCGUGAGAUGUCGAGUGGUAUGCGGAAUGCGCGGUGUAGCGGUGAAAUGCUUAGAUAUUGCGCAGAACGCCGAUUGCGAAGGCAGCAUACCGGCGGCGAUCUGACGCUGAGGCACGAAAGCGUGGGUAUCGAACAGGAUUAGAUACCCGAGUAGUC